AACCCUUCCCCUCCCCUCCCCUAACACUGUUCAUUGUUUAGGAGCUAUAGUAGCACCCUUCUUUCAGCAACGGCGCGUGCUACCGUCUCCUUUCUGACGCGCUCCCCUUCUCUCUCACGCCAGGUGAAGAGGUUCACUGUUCUCUCCCCUCACCUGCUUCUCGCGGAAGACGCCGCCCGCGCCACACCCAAGAAUGUUCGCACUCCACUUCUCUCCCUCUCGACGCGUCUGUGGAAGGAGGCCGCGUUCCCGCAACGCGGCGGCAGAUCUGCCGGCGGAAGGAGGAAUCGGAGCCGGUCCCGGUCGGCUGCGAGGAAGACGAAGUCGAGUUCGUGAACAGACAAUCCCAUUCGCGACCGAAGAUGAAGCGGCCACAAAUCUGCUUCCGCCGAGGUUCUUCGCCACCGCAUCCUUCGUUUCCUUCUCCGAGCUUCGACGGCUACCUCAGAUCCGGACUUGCCCGCUUGGAUUCGUCGUGUUGCGGGCCAAAUCUUCCGUUCUUGAGGGUCUUCUUCAAACUCGUCAUGAACCAUUUGCAAAAUAGUCUACAUGGAUCUGCUCCGGCGGUACAACGAUGUUAUUUAGCACGAGAGGGGAAGUCCAAUCCGUGUGGGAUUGCUCUGGCGCAGGCCAUUACUUGGAAUCCUAGAAUUCAGGCAUGUUUUUUUUUUGCUCAAUUCAACUGUCAUGUGCACUGCCACAUAAAUAUUAUUACUUAUGCCUUUACCAACAAUGAUUUCAAGCA